GAUGAACGCUGGCGGCGUGCCUAAUACAUGCAAGUCGAGCGAACGGACGAGAAGCUUGCUUCUCUGAUGUUAGCGGCGGACGGGUGAGUAACACGUGGAUAACCUACCUAUAAGACUGGGAUAACUUCGGGAAACCGUAGCUAAUACCGGAUAAUAUUUUGAACCGCAUGGUUCAAAAGUGAAAGACGGUCUUGCUGUCACUUAUAGAUGGAUCCGCGCUGCAUUAGGUAGUUGGUAAGGUAACGGCUUACCAAGGCAACGAUGCAUAGCCGACCUGAGAGGGUGAUCGGCCACACGGGAACUGAGACACGGUCCAGACUCCUACGGGAGGCAGCAGUAGGGAAUCUUCCGCAAUGGGCGAAAGCCUGACGGAGCAACGCCGCGUGAGUGAUGAAGGUCUUCGGAUCGUAAAACUCUGUUAUUAGGGAAGAACAUAUGUGUAAGUAACUGUGCACAUCUUGACGGUACCUAAUCAGAAAGCCACGGCUAACUACGUG
rnacentral:rRNA from 1 species